UUUAUGGUAUUGGUUAAUGGUUAGGCCACAGUGCUCUCACCGCUGCGGCCGGGGUUUGAUUCCCGGCUAGGGAA